AACGCACCUUGCGCUCCUUGGUAUUCCGAGGAGCAUGCCUGUUUGAGUGUCAUUAAAUUCUCAACCUCACCCAGUUUGUCAAAACCGGGUGAAGGCUUGGACUUGGGGGUUUUGCAGGCUGCGGGUCAAUCCGCGGUUCGCUCUCCUGAAAUGUAUUAGCGGGUCUUUCCCCUCUAUCCCAACGGUGUGAUAACCUAUCUACGCCGCCGGUUUGGAGACCUUAAUGGGACCAGCUUCUAACCGUCCGCAAGGACAACAUUGACCAAUCUUGACCUCAAAUCAGGUAGGACUACCCGCUGAACUUAA
rnacentral:misc_RNA from 1 species